UACAGAGGUCUCAAGCGUUGUUCGGAUUCAUUGGGCGUAAAGGGCGCGUAGGCGGCCAUGCGUGUCUUCCGUGAAAUCCCUCGGCUUAACUGAGGACGUGCGGAAGAAACUGCAAGGCUCGAGUCCGGGAGAGGGGGGUGGAAUUCCCAGUGUAGCGGUGAAAUGCGUAGAUAUUGGGAAGAACACCGAUGGCGAAGGCAGCCAUCUGGACCGACACUGACGCUGAGGCGCGAAAGCGUGGGGAGCAAACGGG
rnacentral:rRNA from 1 species